AGUGAACGCUGGCGGUAGGCCUAACACAUGCAAGUCGAACGGCAGCACAGUAAGAGCUUGCUCUUACGGGUGGCGAGUGGCGGACGGGUGAGGAAUACAUCGGAAUCUACUUUUUCGUGGGGGAUAACGUAGGGAAACUUACGCUAAUACCGCAUACGACCUACGGGUGAAAGCAGGGGAUCUUCGGACCUUGCGCGAUUGAAUGAGCCGAUGUCAGAUUAGCUAGUUGGCGGGGUAAAGGCCCACCAAGGCGACGAUCCGUAGCUGGUCUGAGAGGAUGAUCAGCCACACUGGAACUGAGACACGGUCCAGACUCCUACGGGAGGCAGCAGUGGGGAAUAUUGGACAAUGGGCGCAAGCCUGAUCCAGCCAUACCGCGUGGGUGAAGAAGGCCUUCGGGUUGUAAAGCCCUUUUGUUGGGAAAGAAAAGUAGCAGGUUAAUACCCCGCUGUUCUGACGGUACCCAAAGAAUAAGCACCGGCUAACUUCGUG
rnacentral:rRNA from 1 species